rfam:Mesocricetus auratus contig176435, whole genome shotgun sequence.
GGCUUUGCAAAGCGGCAGUAUUAUAGCCAGUGAGGUUUAUCCAAGGUGAAAUUAUUGCUAAUCGAAAACUUUGCUAACUGGGUGCAUGCCUUUAAUCCCAUCACUCAAACUUGGAAGGCAGAGGCAGGUGAAUCUCUAAGGUCGAGGACAGCCUG